AACCAGGACCUGCCACGUGGCAAAACCACGUCGACCGGGGACUGGCCACGUUGGCGAUCCGAGUGCGCGCGAUCGGACGGUCCAGAUCAAUCGCGCGCACGGACGGCCCAGAAUUAAUCGCACGGACGGCCCAGAUUUAAUCAAAAACGGACGGCUCAGAUUAAAUCAAAAUGGACGGCUGAGAUCAAAAGGCAAAAGGGUAUAAAUAAGACCCCCACACCAGACCCCAAACCCUAGCCGCCUGCCCUCGCCGGAGAAGACGAACCAGAAGCCGGCCGCAGCCACCCGCCGCCGCACCGGAGGAAUUUCCGACCGCCGAUCGAGGUAAAUUUCAUAUCCCAGAUUCGUUUUUCCACGCUGAUUUCCCCAGUGGCCAAAUCAGAGCCAAAAUCCUGGCCAAACAGCCGAAAAACA
rnacentral:lncRNA from 1 species